GAAUAAUUGAAUUGAAUAGUGAAUACCCAGUUGCGGAUAGACAAGAUCUGAACUUUAUUUUGAAGCUGAAUCGCUACAUUUUAGGGAUUUUAUCUUAUGGAGACGUGGCGAUCUUCAAAUGGAAGAAGGGGGAGAGGUAGAGGGAGAGGGAGAGGAAGCUAUUCAUCUUUGUAUAAUGCCCGGUCAAACUACACCGGGCCAUCAAACACCUCAAAUAAUUAUACUACUACUAGAAAACCGACAGUGAAUGUUAGCGACAAACUGGAUGAUAACGAUGCUGAAAGCAUCCCAACUUUGAUUGGAACUUGUCCUUUUAUGUGUCCUGUUGACGAAAGGGUACAACGUGAACGGUUAAGAGAUUUAGCUAUCUUUGAGAGAUUAGAUGGAAACCCGUCCAAAUCGUCAUCUACCCUUGCCGUGAAAAAGUUUUGCAGAACCAUCUCCACAAAGGAUGUACGGAGUAUGGACAUUCGCCCCCUUGCGGUAUUGGAAGACACCUUGAAUCACCUUUUAACAGUUUUCGAGUCUAGUGAACACUCUUUUGAAGCUGUUCAUGACUUCAUUUUCGAUAGAACAAGAUCCAUAAGGCAAGACCUCAGUAUGCAGAAUAUAGUUAGCGGGAAUCAAGCUGUUGCAAUAUAUGAAAGAAUUGUGAAAUUUCAUAUUGUCUCUCAUUACAAGCUUAGGAGAAGUCACGAGAGUUCAGAUUCAAAUCCGAAUGCAUCUCCUAUGCAUUACCUCAAUAUGGAACAACUUACAAAGACAUUAGCGUCUUUAUAUCACUUGUAUGACCAAAACUGCAAGUCAAAUCCCGAAUUCUAUUCGUUUUAUGUGCUUCUUCAUCUUGGCUCUGAUCGUCAACCAUCAGGUGAGUCAUUAUCUUUAUGGUUCAGAAGUCUUCCUUUCUCUAUUGUGAAAUCAAAGGAAAUGAUGUUUUCCCGGAGGCUUUUAAGGCAUUUUCGUUUUGGUAACUACAAACAGUUUCUGGAAACAAUAGAUGCUGAAGCAUCUCGUUUGCAGUAUUAUGUUAUUGAACCGUAUAUUUGUGAGGUUCGUGCACUAGGGUUGUCAUGUUUGAAUGAUGGCGGUUAUAAGUUAAAUCCAUAUCCAAUUGAAGACAUAUCUAGAUAUUUGCUCAUGGAAGAAUCUGAUGUUGAAUCCUUUUGCAAAGACUGUGGUCUUGAUAUCUUCACUAGUGAAACAGGAUCGAAAUUCAUGUCUGCCAAGCAAACAAAUUUUGGCUUUUCAAAAGGGUCUCAAAAGUAUUACCCGUUGGUUUCAAAACGGUUACAAAAGUUCACUGAUGAGGUACACUAAAGACUUUAGUUUGGGAAGGAAAUAUUGUGGAAAUGUUGAAAGGAAGUUGAUUCUGGUGAAUGUUUUUCACCACUUAGAUGAUGAAAACUGACAGAAACGAGAAAAUUGUAGUAGAUAUAUUUAUGUAUCUGAGGUAGCUAAAUCUGAUGUAACAAUGAGCUGGAUACAAGGAAAGUUAUUGUGUGUAUGAAUAUGACAUCGUUUGUUGAUUGUGGAGGAACAAGUAGUCGAACUGGUGGAUGUAACUGCAGGGUUUCUUUGAAGACGGCUUCUGGUGGAUCCUCUUUUCAAGUGGUGCCAGAAGCAUAAACUUUACAAUUCUUGUCAGAUGAUGCUGUUAGAGGGGAGAGAGUGGAAGCGGGGAAAGGCAAUCGGGGUCGCGGGGCCGGGCGGGCACACCGCCGCCGGUGUUUUACCGCAGGAGAGAGAAGAAGAAUUUGGGGGAAGAACCCCGAAGGGGGGAAGAGAAGAGAGAAAGGAGGAAAGAGAGAGGAGAGUGGUGAUUGGUGGAGAAGAAAGAGAUGGGGACCCAUGUUUUAAUUUUUUAAUAAAAAACAAUCUCAUGAAAGCUUUGUAUAUAUAUGAGUUUGAACUAUGAAGAAGA